rnacentral:lncRNA from 1 species
AAAUACAUAACAUGAUAUCCGUCGACCCAAAUGAUAAGCCUGUUUUCAGAAAUUCAUUCGAAAACAAGUGAGAUUCAUAAAGAAAAUGACACAAAAAGUACCAUAUUGUUGAUAUUCAUUCUAUUUACAAGUAUGGAAAAAUGCAAGUCAAUAAUUUUCAUAAAAAACAAUAAAUUAAUGAUAAAAACUCAGCAUACAUCAAUCUAUUUAUUCACACAUACAUUUUGAAGAUCUUUAAUAGACGAGGCCAAAACUUGCAUAAUUUCAUCCCAAAGACCCUCGAACAACUGCAAUAUUUUAUUAAUAUUGCCAAAACACACAACUGCGAUGUACUAGGGAAAUCAAACACUAACCUUGACUGUUUUGGAACUUGAGGAAAACCAGAAUUCCACCUCCACUUUGCUCGUUCUCCAACCACCGCUGAACAAAUUAAUACGAAAAAUAAAAUUUAAUGAACAAAUUAAUUUUGAUUUCCUUGUUCGAUGUGCUAUACUAGCUAAAAAAAUAACAAAACAGAAUGAAGAAGAAUUUUUUUUGAACAACGAUGCUUCACGAAUACUGUGCGAGCUAGG